rnacentral:rRNA from 1 species
GCCAACCUACGGGAGGCAGCAGUGAGGAAUAUUGGUCAAUGGGCGGGAGCCUGAACCAGCCAAGUCGCGUGAGGGAAGACGGUCCUACGGAUUGUAAACCUCUUUUGCCGGGGAGCAACGGGGUCCUUGCGAGGUCCCAAUGAGAGUACCCGGAGAAAAAGCAUCGGCUAACUCCGUGCCAGCAGCCGCGGUAAUACGUAGGUGGCAAGCGUUGUCCGGAUUUAUUGGGCGUAAAGCGAGUGCAGGCGGUU